rnacentral:rRNA from 1 species
UACGACUACAUAUCAGGCAUAUCAAUAAGCGGAGGAAAAGAAACUAGCUAGGAUUCCCUCAGUAACGGCGAGUGAAGCGGGAAGAGCUCAAAUUUGAAAUCUUCAAGGUUUUACCUUGACGAAUUGUAGUUUAAAGAAGUGUUUUCUGUUGGUGUUUUGGUAAAAGUUCUUUGGAAUAGGACACCAUAGAGGGUGAGAAUCCCGUAUUUGACCAUUACUUCCAGCGUUGUGAUACACUUUCAAAGAGUCGGAUUGUUUGGGAAUGCAGUCCAAAAUGGGUGGUAAAUUUCAUCUAAAGCUAAAUAUUGGCGAGAGACCGAUAGCGAACAAGUACCGUGAGGGAAAGAUGAAAAGAACUUUGAAAAGAGAGUUAAACAGUACGUGAAAUUGUCAAAAGGGAAGCGUUUGACACCAGUGUUGUUUUUCCGAAAAUCAAUUACGAAUGUUUUGUUUUUAAGAGAGUUAUGACUUCAUCGGCUUGCUCCUUUCUUUACGAAACUUUCUUAAUGCACUUUUCGGUUAACAAGUCAACAUCAAUUUCUUUUGUUGUAAAAGGGUAUGAGGAAGGUGGCUUUCUUUUCGGAGAAAGUGUUUAUAGCCUUGUGCCUCUGCAAUCGGAGAGAUUGAGGUCUGCAGCGUAGAUCCUUCGGGGUUGGAUACAUUUGUGCUAAGUUAUAGUUUUUCAUAGACAACAUGUUGACUAUGAUUAGUCAUGUAGCUUACUCGCUUAUGCUAUUUUACCUACGCUUAGGAUGUUGAUCUCUCACAGUCGAGC